rnacentral:RNase_P_RNA from 1 species
GAGAUUCGUCCGGCAGUCGCCCUUCUUCUGAGGGGAGGAAAGUCCGGACUCCUGCAUGCGAAACGCCGCGGGAAACCGCGGGACGCCACAAGCGGACGGAUAGCGCCACAGAAAAUUACCGCCGGGCAACCGGUAAGGGUGAAAAGGCGGUGUAAGAGACCACCGCCGGGAGCGGCAACGCACCGGGCAUAGGCAAGCCCCGUUUGGAGCAAGAUCGUAUAGGGUACGCGGAGGCAACUCCGGGAACGCAUGUCUUCCCUGUCGUGCCGGGUAGAUCGCGUCAGUUGAAUGACUGCCUGCGUCGCAAGACGUAACAGAAUCCGGCUUAUGGGCGGAUCUCCUUU